UCCUACGGGAGGCAGCAGUGAGGAAUAUUGGUCAAUGGAGGGAACUCUGAACCAGCCAUACCGCGUGCAGGAAGAAUGCCCUAUGGGUUGUAAACUGCUUUUAUUUGGGAAGAACCCUAUCUACGUGUAGAUAGCUGACGGUACCAAACGAAUAAGGACCGGCUAACUCCGUGCCAGCAGCCGCGGUAAUA
rnacentral:rRNA from 1 species